rnacentral:rRNA from 1 species
GUGCACGCUGGCGGUAGGCCUAACCCAUGCCAGUCGCACGGCAGCACAGUAAGAGCUUGCUCUUCCGGGUGGCGAGUGGCGGACGGGUGAGGAAUACAUCGGAAUCUACUUUUUCGUGGGGGAUAACGUAGGGAAACUUACGCUAAUACCGCAUACGACCUACGGGUGAAAGCAGGGGAUCUUCGGACCUUGCGCGAUUGAAUGAGCCGAUGUCGGAUUAGCUAGUUGGCGGGGUAAAGGCCCACCAAGGCGACGAUCCGUAGCUGGUCUGAGAGGAUGAUCAGCCACACUGGAACUGAGACACGGUCCAGACUCCUACGGGAGGCAGCAGUGGGGAAUAUUGGACAAUGGGCGCAAGCCUGAUCCAGCCAUACCGCGUGGGUGAAGAAGGCCUUCGGGUUGUAAAGCCCUUUUGUUGGGAAAGAAAAGCAGCAGGUUAAUACCCCGCUGUUCUGACGGUACCCAAAGAAUAAGCACCGGCUAACUUCGUG